rnacentral:rRNA from 1 species
UGGGGAAUAUUGCACAACGGAGGGAACUCUGAUGCAGCGACGCCGCGUGAGUGAUGAAGGAAUUCGUUUCGUAAAACUCUGUUCUAUGGGAAGAAAAGGACUGUACCAUAGUAGAAAGCUCCGGCUAAAUACGUGCCAGCAGCCGCGGUAAUACGUAUGGAGCGAGCGUUGUCCGGAAUUAUUGGGCGUAAAGGGUGCGCAGGCGGCUUUACAAGUUGGAUGUGAAAUAUUGUGGCUCAACCACAAACGUGCAUCCAAAACUGCAAAGCUUGAGUUAAGGAGAGGUAAGUGGAAUUCCUGGUGUAGCGGUGGAAUGCGUAGAUAUCAGGAGGAGUACCGGUGACGAAUGCGACUUACUGAACUUAAAAUGACACUCAGGCACGAAAGCGUUGGGAGCAAACAGG